CUGACGUCCAUGGACAGUGAAGUCCUAAACUUCUCCCUAGAACAUGUGCUAUACAGCUAGAUUAGUAAUAAUGCAGGCCUCUCCACAGCAGCCUUUGGAUGUGUCUUAACUGAUCUGGAGGGACAGCUUCUAGGGGUGAGCUGGCAAUUCAGUCUCCAUGUUCAUUCACUCCUUCAGGUCCU
rnacentral:sRNA from 1 species